rnacentral:misc_RNA from 1 species
UCACCCCUCAAGCCCCGCGCUUGGCGUUGGACGGCUGGUCGAGCGAUCGACCCCUCCUAAAGACAAUGACGGCGGCCUGUGGUUCCCCCGGUACACUGAGCUUUUAAUUGAGCACGUAUCGGACAAGGGCACCCGGGACCCGGUCCUCUCCUUUAACUAGGAAACUUCUAA